UACGUAGGGUGCAAGCGUUAAUCGGAAUUACUGGGCGUAAAGGGUGCGUAGGUGGUCGUUUAAGUCCGUUGUGAAAUCCCUGGGCUCAACCUGGGAAUGGCAGUGGAUACUGGACGGCUAGAAUGCGGUAGAGGGUAGUGGAAUUCCCGGUGUAGCAGUGAAAUGCGUAGAUAUCAGGAGGAACACCAAUAGCGAAGGCAGCUCGCUGGGACGUUACUGACACUGAGGCGCGAAAGCGUGGGGAGCGAACAGG
rnacentral:rRNA from 1 species